rnacentral:rRNA from 1 species
UACAGAGGGUGCAAGCGUUAAUCGGAAUUACUGGGCGUAAAGCGUGCGUAGACGGUUACAUAAGUCGGGUGUGAAAGCCCCGGGCUCAACCUGGGAAUUGCAUUCGAGACUGCGUAGCUAGGGUGCGGAAGAGGGAAGCGGAAUUUCCGGUGUAGCGGUGAAAUGCGUAGAUAUCGGAAGGAACACCAGUGGCGAAAGCGGCUUCCUGGUCCAGCACCGGACGUCAGGCACGAAAGCGUGGGGAGCAAACAGG